GAGCAGGGCGGCGGACAGAAACACAAACACUGCAGCGGCCCGUCUUCUGUGUCGGGGUCAGGGCGCGCUGAUGGAACCCCCAAUCCUGUAGUUCUGCUGAGGGCUGACGCUGUCCCCGGGCACCUGCCUGGAGAAUCUUGCUGCCGGGCUUUGGCACAGGAGAGGAGAGGAAGGAGGCGGGCUGAGGUUUUGAGUUAGCCUGAGUCGCCGGGCCUCAGUGGAGACUGUCCGGGUUCUCCGACUCGCUGCUGCAGGCUGUCCCCGGGGCCAUGCUUGCUCCGCUGGCUCCCAGCUUCCCCGGGCGCACUGAAGGUCUCGGGCUCCCGGAGCACUCCAGAAGCGGAGGGCUGCUCGGUGCGGCGCGGCCGGCCAGGCCCGGGCGCCUUCUCCCAGCUCCGGUCGCAGCAGCCAGACACUUGCAACUAACUUCUCCCAAGUUUCCGGCCCGGGCUCAGCCGCGCCCCUCUCGGUGAGCGCGCCUCCGAGCGUGCGCCCGCGUGGGUGCCGCGCCCGCGAGCCCCUGGGUCCCGGCUACUCCGGGCGCCGCAGGCUGGAAGGAUGCAGGGAUCCAGGUCCUGGAGGAGGACGGGGAUUAAAGAAAACGUGCUAUAUCACCUCAGAUCGCAGGUCUGCUCUGGGGCUGCUCCUGCUUUCCCAGCUCCGGGCCCAGGCUUUCGCUCCGCCGCUUCCGAGGCGACUGCAGCCCGGCUCAGGUUUAGGCGAGUGGAGUGUCCGCCGCGCGCCGCGGAGUCUGCGCACUGUUUGGAGCUUGGUGUCGCCGGCGGCUCCCCUGUUCUGCCCAGCGCUGCUGGUGCUCUGCUGGCUGCUCUUCCGGGAGGAUGAAAGCGGUACACCAGAGGAAAAGAGCUUCAGAAACUGGCGAGGAAGAGGGUUGAGCCUGGGGGUGGGAGUGGGGGAAGAGUCUUUGAAAGUGUUUGAGACUGUUCCGAAUGGCAAGAAAGUACUCAUUUUCCUUGGAGGGCCAGGUGUGACUCGCAACAGACGCCUCCGGCAGUUUCUUGCCUCAUGGUUGCACUCAGAGGUAGUGGAGUGGAAAGUAGCCCAGGAUGGACAGAACAUUUUUGGCAAGCCUUUGGAAAAGGAAUGAGCCUAGGUUGAGCCCGCAUCCCCUUCUGAAUACACAGCUUUUUUAAACAGUUGUCUUCUGUCUUGUUUUGCCUUCUUUUAAUUCUGGUCGUCAGAGCUAUCUCUGUGUUGUUUCUUUAACGUUUGCAGUCUCUCAACGAUAGGGCAAAGCUGCUUCAAAUCAAAAGCAUAAAUCAUUUCUCUAAAUAAAAAUUUUAAAAAUGUUCUACUCUGACAGUUUUUAUGCUGUUGAGCCAGUUUUCUUGCUUGGUAGUUAGAGCUAUUAUAAUUGACGCUAUACACAAUCAAAAAUCAAAUAGCACCCCCGAAUAUUCCUGGGGAACCCCCCUCCUCAGGGACUUUGUGUUUCAGGCAGAUUACUUGUCUUCCUUUGGCUGUUUGCAAGUAACACAUUCGUAUACACGGUUAGCUUUUUUUAAAAUGUCUUUUUGCAAUUUAUGUCCAGUUUGUACACACACGGGACCUUUGAACCAUUGAUUUGUAAUCAGGGCAUUAACAUGAAUUGGUUUGCACUCCUAUUUAUUUAAGAAUUGGGCUUGUUUUGUUGCUCAUUUAAAUUGAAGAAGGCGAUGGCUUUUGAAAUGUUUGUUGUGAUAACAGACAUGCCAGUCAGCAGUGGCAUGUUAAGUGGGUUUCUGUUUUCCUUAGCUGUCAUGUUUGUAAAUGCUUAUUUUGUAUUGUUUUUGCUCUCCUGUUGCUAAAACAAUUGAACUGAUUCCUCUAGAAUCAUAAUUCUUUACCUCACUUUUGUAGACACUGUCAUUCAGACUCUGGGUGGUGCGAUGCUAAGACUCUGGCAAGUGUAAUUACAUAGACUAGGAUAUUAAAUACACUGUUUCAUGAUGAUAAACUACAAAAUUACUGUCUCUGAGCUUUCAACCUACCAACUUGCAUAAUAGUUUUGAGACAAAAUAUUACCCACUGUCACACAAAGAACAUAUAUAUGGGAACACAAUAUAUGAAAACUGUUAUUCACUAAUUCUGAAUAAAGUUGAGUCUAGUAAUGAAAAUUAUCUUGACAUAAAAAGAUUGAAGGCUGAAGAAAUCAAUUUAUGUUGGUAAUUUAAAUAAUUUAUGCGCUUCAAAUUUAUCUUAUAAACAUGCAAUAAAUUAUGAUUGCAUAGAAAUGUUUGUAUAUAUGACUGAAAUCUAUGCUUAUGUAUGCUAUAAGUUGUCAAAAAUCAAAUACAUAAAACUUUUGUGAAUAACCCCAGU
ensembl:processed_transcript Gm4675 predicted gene 4675